AGGGGAGGCUUUGCAUCGUCAGCUGAUCCUCCAGUGAACUGAGAAGGUUUAUAGUUCUGUGAGUUCAACACUGCAGGACUCAGAUCUGUCAGUCAACACAGCAGAAACCACAACCACCAUGACUCUCAUCACCAUCUUCAUCGGGACGCUGGCCUGCUGCUGUUUUACAGGAUCAAGUAGUGAAGUGACUGUAACUCAACCUGCUGUAGUCACAUCUUCUCCUGGAUCUACAGUCACUCUGACCUGUAAAACCAACCCAAAAGUUGAUGUUUGGUCGGAUGGAGAUAGUAGAGUACACUGGUAUCAGCAGAAAUCUGGAGAAGCUCCCAAAUUGGUCAUUAUUUUGGGUCAAAAUGCUACAAGUGAGUUUUCUUCUCGAUUCUCUGGCAGAGGAGAUGGAGUGAACGCUGAGAUGACCAUCAGUGGAGUUCAGUCUAAAGAUGCAGCAGAUUAUUAUUGUAAAGGUGUUCACAAAAUAAACAACGCUUGGGUGUUCACACUGUGAUUUGUAGUCGUACAAAAACCUCCCUCAGUCAGACUGCAGAGACUCUGAGCUGUUACAGCAGGAACCGACUGCAGCUGCUGAAGAGGAAGAGACACUCUGACACAGACCACUGAACACAGAGCUGACAGUAA